rnacentral:lncRNA from 1 species
UGAAGGGAGAGUCUGUGCAGUGGCACCUGCGCGAAGCUGGCCAAAGCCUGCCCAGACGGCUCACCUGUGCGGGAUGGAACAAAAGGUCGGCUUGAGGUUUGCGAGUCCCAGCUCCCACUGCCCCUGCCACCUGCCUUUCCCUUCUCAGGACAUACACAGGACUGGGAGAAAAUAGACUAAGGGUAUGGCACUGUCAGCGGAAGACUGUCAGAUCUCUGCAGCAUGACCCUCAUCCUUGUUCCCAACCUUUUCUGUCAGUCACUGUCUGCCUCCCUUUCUUUGGUUGGCUGCCCAUCAAUGACCUAUUAUCAUCAUUGCCAUAGAUCCCUGAGAAGCACUCCCCCUCCCACAGUUGCCAUUCCAAUCUUGCUACACAGUAUAAGAGCCCUCUUGGCUUCUGAGGGUUAAAUGUUGCCAUCCAGAAUGGUUAAAUGCCAUUCCAGAAUCGUGUCAUCCCCAAGACACUAAGGAGCCAAGUUCCAUGGCAGCAUCUCCUAGCCACAGAGCACAGCCACCACCAGCUUUCUAUGACACCAGUGCCCCCUCACGUCCACAUUCUGCAUUGCCUUAGUGAAGAGCGCCUCCUCUGGGCAGCUCCAUGAAACACCUUCUGGUCUCAUGUAAUAAAUCCGUUCUAACAUU